UCCAAGCGUUAUCCGGAUUCAUUGGGUUUAAAGGGGGCGUAGGCGGAUUAGUAAGUCAGGGGUGAAAUCCUGUCGCUUAACGACAGAACUGCCAUUGAUACUGCUAAUCUUGAGUACAUUUGAAGUGGGCGGAAUGUGUAGUGUAGUGGUGAAAUACUUAGAUAUUACACAGAACACCGAUUGCGAAGGCAGCUCACUAAACUGUAACUGACGCUGAGGCACGAAAGCGUGGGGAUCAAACAGG
rnacentral:rRNA from 1 species